AAAACAAUCCAUCCGCCCGAGAACUACCAGCACAAGCUAGAAACUCAAAAGACUUGACGGUGCUUUACCCUACCUAGAGGAGCCUGUCCUUUAAUCGAUACUCCACGAUCCACCCGACCGCCACUAGCAACUUCAGCCUAUAUACCGCCGUCGAAAGUAUAUCCCCCAAGAGAUGCAUAAUUUUCCCAAUAGCCCCGCCCCCGCUAAAACGUCAGGCCAAGGCAUAGCUAAUGUGGCGGCAGAGAUGGGCUACAUUUUCUGCACUCAGAACACACGAAAGACAAUAUGAAACCUAUUAUCCUAAGGUGGAUUUAGCAGUAAGAUGAAAA
rnacentral:rRNA from 1 species